GAUGCGCGCGCCGCGUGAGCGAUGAAGCCCUUCGGGGUGUAAAGCUCUUUCGACGGGAACGAUAAUGACGGUACCCGAAGAAGAAGCUGCGGCUAACUACGUGCCAGCAGCCGCGGUAAUACGUAGGCAGCAAGCGUUGUUCGGAAUUACUGGGCGUAAAGAGUGUGUAGGCGGUGUUCUAAGUUUGUCGUGAAAUCUCCCGGCUUAACUGGGAGGGUGCGGCGAAAAUGGAAUGCUAGAGGAUGGGAGAGGUAAGCGGAAUUCCUGGUGUAGCGGUGAAAUGCGUAGAUAUCAGGAGGAACACCGU
rnacentral:rRNA from 1 species